UCUUAUGUAAGUGUGCAGCUCUGUCUUAGUUUGUGUGUGUAUAUAAGAUGGCUUGGGGUUAAUGCAUGCCAAACGUCCCCUGUGAGUCUGUUUGUGUGCACAUAAGCAGGAGUUUGCACAUCAGCGGUCUCGUAAUCUGUCUCUCACUGGCUUUUUUCUGUUUUUGUCUGGAGAGCGUCUGGGAGUAUAACAGUUAUCAGAUGCUACCGUAUGUCUAAGUGUGGGUCUUUUCUCUUGCAUCUGUCUUUUUAAGCAAGAGGUGAUUAAGUGGAAGGUUUAGAAAUAUUUGUCAUUGAUCCUUUCGAAGCUUUGGUGGAAUUGUUUUUUCUAUGGGCCAUUCUGCCAGCGGAGCCUCAAAAUGCUACAAAAGAAUACUAGUUUUUUGUGACGAAAGAAAUGAAUAAACACAGUGGAAUCAAGAAAUCAAGUUGCCUCAAAGGGAUCAGCACCAAUGCCUGAGGAACUCACUGCUCCACACCACCCCGGUGACGUGCAUUCUUCCCUCCCUCUCUCUCCCUCUCUCUCUCCCCCCUCCCCCUCUCUCUCGCUUUGUCACAUUGUCAUAGAAUACGGGGGCAAGAUGUAAUGCUGUUCACGACCCAAUGUGCUGCUGCGUCUUGUCCUUCCUCAGUCCCUCCUUUCCUCAAAUGUUAGGUGCAGUGGAUCGAUAAUCCCGUCAGGUCAGAGAGGCCGUCGGUCACAUCUGUCCGACACGUAUCGACGCUUUGCUGGAAGAAGAAAAAAAACAGAAGGAGCAAAGGUUUGGAGACGCGGGGGUUCCGGCGUGUCCUUCCUCUGCGCCCUGUACGCACAAGGAAGAGAGAGACCUUGUUUCAUUGCGCACCGGAGAUCUUCGUUGAACUUCACGAACCUCUGGCGGACCGGAUCAGAUAUCGGUCCAGUCGGUGCUUUACCCUGCAAGUAGCGAGACAGUUUGGAUUUAUCCGCCAAAAAAAGUGGAAUUUGGGUAUUGUGCUGUUUCAUCCGGACCCUAAUCUGCGCUGACACGUGGAAUCGGAUGCGUUCCGUUUAAUAUCAGCUCUGUUCAUAAUAAUCCAAUUUAGAAACUCGUCGUCUGCGGUCGUAGGUUUGAGGCUGUAAAGUCACCGCUCUUCCUCAGCUCGUCCUCCGCGGGGCUGGAGGGGAAAGAGCCGGCGCGCUGAGGGAUGCGGAGCCGGGACCUUGUUUUGUUUUUCAGCUCACCUGCGGAACUCUUCGCAGCGCAAACCAAAGUAUCCCUGCUGAUUCUUCUUGAUCGGUGCAUCAGAGAUAGGACACACACCCAGACUGAACAGACGCGGGGUUAGUUGGCUACAUAACCUCCCCCUGCCGACCGAGGCAGCCGGUGAACCCGCGGGGCGCCAUGCUGAGGCAGAUGCUCCUCAACUCCACCGACACCUCAGACUUCCACCUGGCACUCGUGGCCCAGUCCUCCACGCACGCCCCCUCCUCCAUGAACGCCUCCCACGGCGGUUCGGUGAGCGUCGCCGCUCUCCUGAGACCCACCGCGGGGCGAGGGGGAGGGGGCCUCCGGGAGGGCGAGCUCCACAAGCCGGACCUGACCACCUACAUAGUGAUGUGCCUGCUGCUCUUCCUGUUGGUGCUGCUCAUCGUGUUCUUCAUCAACUGCCAGCUGCGGAACUCUUUCUUCGCCUCCAUGCCAUAUGACAGGUCGUUGAGAGAGGCCCGGAGCUCCUACAAGUGAGACCCCCCCCCAACCAACCCAGGCCAAUCUCUGUGACCUUUAGAGAGACUCCUGUGCGGGGGUUGAAGGACUGACUGGUCUCCUUGAACUGCUGCUGCUGGAAUCAUGUGGUUUGCCUUUAAUAGUUGUCUUGGACACAUUGAUUAGGCAGUGCCUCGGUGAGUGAAAUGUUGCACACAUCUUCCACGUCGGGGCCUGUACACCCUCCGAGAUAUAUGGCUCUUCGGACCAUGGGGGGCAUUUGGGAAGCUGAAUAGCUCCAGAUGGCAACAUAACAUUAGACUAUAACUCCUGCUCAAUUUAGGGCGCCUAUUUUGGGUGAUUAAUGAAUACAAUGUGAAACAAUCCAUCACGCCCUGUAAACAACUCAUCAUCCCCGUAUUGCACUUUGGAAAGAAAUGAUAUAUAUCCCUUUACAGCAUAUUCGCAAACUUGUGUUGAUUCAUCUCCCUGAAUUGGAGUCUAAAUUUGCUGUAUUUCUCACUGGCCCAGACAGGUUUCAGCUUCUUCUUUUUGUUCACGUAAACGUGGCGUACUGCAACAGAGAGCGUAUACAGUAGGUGGCGUAUAUUCAACAUUUUCUAUGACUGUAACUUAACCGUCUUGUCUCGUGAAAUGAAACAAUCAACGCACAACGCCCUUUUGUCCAUGUAAAAUGCUGAUUCAAUUACAGACUGUUUCUAUAAUGUCACAUAAAGAUAUUUAAAUGUACUUUAAGUGUCUCUUCAUCUCUGCACCUGCUUGUUAGUGGCGAUGCUGAAAAUAGCUGUUGAUGCGAUGGUCCAACCGUUAUUCAUGGUGGUUAGUCCUACAGUGCAUUUUCAUUUUUAAUUAACCUCUCCCCCACAAUUAACACAAGAGAGAAUGAAGACCUGAGGCUGCAGUUUAUGAUGAGACUUUUGCGAUAAACUAAACUGUUUUGCACAAAACCUCUCCAAUCGUGUUGUUGGAAACUUCUCCCCCAAACCAAGUCAGAUAUGAGCCUAUCUCUAUAAUCCUGUGCGUGGUCGUGUGUGCGCCCAGCUUAGUGGAAAAUACAUUUUGCAUUUAAAGUGUAGAAACACAGUUGUUUGUCUUGGAAUCGGAG
ensembl:lncRNA